GAGCAAGUAAGGAACAGCGAGAGGCUAGAAGGGUUCACUCUGACACCCACCCCCGUGUGAGGAUUCCUGAAGAAGUGAGGAGAAGAUCACCUGCCCACAGAACCUAACCCAGCAUCAGAGGAAGCCUGAAGUGAGGAAGCCUGAAGUGAAGAAGCCUGAAGUAAAGAAGCCUGAAGCUAUAGCGCAGAAAGGCCUUCUCAACACAUGUUCAGAACAACCCAGGAUUCUGAAGCAUUGAUUUGGAAAGAGCCCCCAGACAGUUUUUGCCUGGAUCCCUCCAUCAGCAGAGAACUCCUUCUGCAUAAGGUAGCUUCCUCCAGGCCCUGGUGGCUUAGAUGGGGCCUUCUGCCUCCCUGCCAGUCAAACUUGUCUCCCUCUAACUUGUUCAGCCUGGUGGAGCAGCACAGGUACGUGGGUUCUUAUUUCCACAUGACAACCCUUAAAACAUCUAAAGACAAUCAUUUUAAUAAUAAAUAAUACCAUUUAAUGAG
rnacentral:lncRNA from 1 species